GAUGAACGCUGGCGGCGUGCAUAACACAUUCAAGUCGAACGGAGAUAUUUGAGGAAAUCCUUCGGGAUGGAGACAGAUAUUUUAGUGGCGGACGGGUGAGUAACGCGUGAGCAACCUGCCUCUGUGUGCGGGAUAACGUUGGGAAACUGACGCUAAUACCGCAUGAAGCAACAAUACCGCAUGGUGAAGUUGCCAAAGAUUUAUUGCACAGAGAUGGGCUCGCGUCUGAUUAGAUAGUUGGUGAGGUAACGGCCCACCAAGUCUGCGAUCAGUAGCCGGACUGAGAGGUUGAACGGCCACAUUGGAACUGAGAUACGGCCCAG
rnacentral:rRNA from 1 species